CCCUACGGGAGGCAGCAGUUAAGAAUCUUGCACAAUGGGGGCAACCCUGAUGCAGCGACGCCGCGUGGAUGAUGAAGGCCUUCGGGUUGUAAAGUCCGGUAAGCAGGGAAGAAUAAGCGGGGGGUAAUAUUCCUCGUGAUGACGGUACCUGCCUAAAGCCCCGGCUAACUACGUGCCAGCAGCCGCGGUAAUACGUAUGGGGCAAGCGUUGUUCGGAAUUAUUGGGCGUAAAGGGCGUCUAGGCGGGGGAUUAAGUUAGAUGUGAAAGCCAUGGGCUCAACCCAUGAACUGCAUCUAAGACUGGUUCUCUUGAGUUCGGGAGAGGAGAGCGGAAUUCCAGGUGUAGCGGUGAAAUGCGUAGAUAUCUGGAAGAACACCAGUGGCGAAGGCGGCUCUCUGGCCUAGAACUGACGCUGAAGCGCGAAAGCGUGGGGAGCGAACAGGAUUAGAUACCCUUGUAGUC
rnacentral:rRNA from 1 species